GAAAAAUAUAACUAAAAUAUAUAAAAUACAGUGGAAACAUAUCAUUUUCACUAGUACAAAAUGUGCUUUUAAACUCGCACAAUAGAUCUCGGUUUACACCAAACCGCUGUCUAUUCAGACACGGUGGCAUUUUUGUAAUUAACGAGACCUUAUAGGCCUCGGUUCAAACUUGACCGGUGCCAAAAAGGGUUACCACUUCGGUUGUAAAAACAACCGGUGCCUAAUGAGUAGUUUCUAACACAAUUUCUGACGCGGUUAAAAAAGACCCGAGGUAAAAGGAGUAUAUUGCACCGGUUAUUAAGAAGAACCGAGGCGUAUAAGCCUCUACUACCUCAGGCCCAAAAGGACCGAGGCAUAUAAGCCUCUUAUUUCUCCCCAGACAUUUUCCCCAGACAUUUUCCCCAAACACGCGACCUAGCCCCUUCACCCCUCGCGCUCGCCUCGCUCGCCUCCCUCCCCUCACUCUCGCCUCCCUCGCUCUCAGUCUCGCUCCCUCGAUCUGGCCUCCCUCCCCUCGGUCUCGCCUCCCUCGGUCUCGCCUCCCUCCCCUCGGUCUCGCCUCCCUCGGUCUCGGUCUCGCCUCCCUCGGUCUCGGUCUCGGUCUCGCCUCCCUCGCUCUCGCCUCCCUCCCCUCGCUCUAGCCUCCUUCGCUGUCGCCUCCCUUCGCUCUCGCCUCCCCUCUCUCGGUCUCGCUCCGUCGCUCUCUCGGUCUCGCUCUCUCUUGCGAGUGCGUCGCCUCUGGAGGGAAGAGCAUGCGGUGGUGGUGCGUCAAUGGUGGCGGCGGUGAUAGUGGUGGUGGUGGUGGUGCGAAUCUGAGAUUAGGGUCAGAUUGGGGUCAGAUUAGGGUUUUGCGAAUCUGCAAAAGGCUAAUGUGCUCAAAUCUGCAAAAGGGGUGAGGGUUGUGGAGAAAAAUGAAGAACUCCAUGGUUUUGCUGAAUCCAGUUCUCUGUUUUUUAUUUGUCUGUCUCCUUGAUCAAAUUCUCUGAUUUGUGUAAUUUGCAACUGUAAAUUUUCUGAUUUGUGUAAUUUGCAACUGUAAAUUCUUCUCUGAUUUGUGUAAUUUGCAACUGUUCUCUGUUCUCUGUUCUCUGAUUUGUGUAAUUUGAGAUUAUUUGUGUGCAUGUUCUCUGUUCUCUGGGCAAGUUU
rnacentral:sRNA from 1 species